rnacentral:lncRNA from 1 species
UUUUCUCUACAUCAGCUUGGUUCGACUUUAUUCAUUGUAUUAUUCAAUGUUUUCAAUUUUGAGUGUAGUAUACAUUGACUAAAUUACGGAUGGUGGAGGCUGAUAAUUUGUACACUUUUUUAUUUUAAUCUUAAGUAAUAACAGUAAUCACGCAAUGCGAUAAACACAACACGUGUCGAUAUCUUGAAAAAAGAAAUGGUUGCAUAUAUCUACAAUUUUCAUUAGUAAAUCAAGUUUUGGAACUUGUUUAUAAUGAGUAAUAAGUUUUAACUAUUGGGACUAGUUAGCAUUUCUUCCGUCAGAUUUUAUGUGACCUGCGUGUUUUUUCUAUCUUUACAUAUAGGUAUUAAACUGGGUUUUUGGGCAUUAGUUUGACGAGUGGAUCUUUUUCUUAAUAAGAUUAAACUUUUAUGCAUGUGAGGGACGAGUUGACAUAUCUUUAUUUAGCAGCAGCAGAUAAACUAUUUUCCCUCAGUUUAGUUUUUCAAUGUAGCCAAUUGUCUUCGAUUCAAUUGUAUCGUACAGACAAGUAAGUUAUUUAACGUGACACAAUAUGAUGCAGUUAGUACAUUUCAUUUGAUCAUGACAUAUUUGGUAUUGAACAGUUAUUAUGGUGGAUAGUUAGGUCGACAUAGCUUUAUUAACUCGACAUGUGACUAAAUAAUUG